AGAAGGUCACUAAAUGACCUUUGACGGUCCUGAACCGUCAAAAAGUUAAAUAAGCUUAGAAAGUGAUCAAGGAUCACUUUCUUUGCUUAAACGGCCUUGCUGCAAUGCCUCGAUGUCGAGGCAUUCAGCAAGGCCGAGAUCGGCAUCGGGGGCCAUGUCUGGCCCCUCCCCGGGGCGUCAACAGCCGCCAUACAUUGUAUGGCGGCGGACGCCCGUUUUAAAAGCGUUUAGGAGGCGAUCAACGAUCGCCUCCUAAACUUAAAUGGUGUCGCUGGAAUGCCUCGAUCAGGAGGCAUCCAGCGACACCAAACACUUACCUUUAGCUGCCGGUGAUCUUCGCCAUCAAGUAAGAUGGCCGCCGCUCUGUAAAAAAAACAAACAAGAAAAAGUUUGCUAGAUGGUCUCCAGACCCUCUAGAGAACUGGCUCCACUUGCUGGUUGAAUACAGGUACUGCAUUCAACCAUGCAAGUCAAUGGAGCCCAGCUUUCUAGUCACUAUGUGAUUAGUAAAA